UGCCAGCAUCCGCGGUACUACUUAUUGGGUUAGCGUUGUUCGGAAUUACUGGGCGUAAAGCGCGCGUAGGCGGAUUGGAAAGUUGGGGGUGAAAUCCCAGGGCUCAACCCUGGAACUGCCUCCAAAUCUCCCAGUCUAGAGUUCGAGAGAGGUGAGUGGAAUUCCAAGUGUAGAGGUGAAAUUCGUAGAUAUUUGGAGGAACACCAGUGGCGAAGGCGGCUCACUGGCUCGAUACUGACGCUGAGGUGCGAAAGUGUGGGGAGCAAACAGGAUUAGAUA
rnacentral:rRNA from 1 species